rnacentral:rRNA from 1 species
GAUUUCUGGUCUGACGUGCCUGGCCCGCCGGGGUCACCCGCGUGAGUGCCGGUGCGCGUCUACCAUCCUUGUACAAAACGGCCUUACCCUUCACUGGGCCGAGGUCGCGAUGUACAUCUUUUACUUUGAAAAAAUUAGAGUGUUUAAAGCAGGCUUACGCUGUGAAUACAUUAGCAUGGAAUAAUAAUAUAGGACUUCGGUUCUAUUUUGUUGGUUCUUAGGAUUGAAGUAAUGAUUGAUAGGGAUAGUUGGGGGUGCUAGUAUUCAGCGGCCAGAGGUGAAAUUCUUGGAUUCGCUGAAGACUAACUACUGCGAAAGCAUU